rnacentral:rRNA from 1 species
GUCAAGUCCUCAUGGCCUUAUGUCUAGGGCUACACACGUACUACAAUGGCCGGUACAAAGGGCAGCCACUCAGCGAUGAGGCGCUAAUCCCAUAAAGCCGGUCUCAGUCCGGAUCGCAGUCUGCAACUCGACUGCGUGAAGUUGGAAUCGCUAGUAAUCGUAGAUCAGCAUGCUACGGUGAAUACGCUCCCGGGCCUU